UUUCUAAAGAAGUAAAAAUUACUUUAAAAAAUGUUUCAGGAAGACUUUGAGAAAUUUACAGUAUCUGCUUUUCUUCCAAGAAAGUUGUCACUUUUAUGCCAGAGUGAGAAUUAUUUGUAUGCUUUGUAUGUCAGCAUUGGGCCACUGUGACUGGGGGGCACUUAGCUUGACUUGAGAGUAAUUAUCUUGCUCACUGGCUGGGAGGGAGGGUGUGUGGCAGAGGAGAUAAAUACUCGGUUCUGGAUUAUUCAUAGAUUGCUGACUUUCUGGAUUGCUUGUGCAAGCCCCUCCUUUUAUUGAUGUCCACCUUCUAUUGACAGACAUCUACCCUGGGAGAGAAAUGAGAUGAAACUCUCUUUCUUUUCAUUGUAAAAAGCAUUUGAAUUCCUAAGGUGUGAUAAGGCCACCCAGCCAUCCACAGACAAGGAAAGGAAUUCUGCCA